rnacentral:rRNA from 1 species
GUGGGGAAUAUUGGACAAUGGGCGAAAGCCUGAUCCAGCCAUGCCGCGUGUGUGAAGAAGGUCUUCGGAUUGUAAAGCACUUUAAGUUGGGAGGAAGGGUAGUAACCUAAUACGUUGCUACUUUGACGUUACCGACAGAAUAAGCACCGGCUAACUUCGUGCCAGCAGCCGCGGUAAUACGAAGGGUGCAAGCGUUAAUCGGAAUUACUGGGCGUAAAGCGCGCGUAGGUGGUUCAGUAAGUUGGAAGUGAAAUCCCCGGGCUCAACCUGGGAACUGCUUUCAAAACUGCUGAGCUAGAGUACGGUAGAGGGUGGUGGAAUUUCCUGUGUAGCGGUGAAAUGCGUAGAUAUAGGAAGGAACACCAGUGGCGAAGGCGACCACCUGGACUGAUACUGACACUGAGGUGCGAAAGCGUUGGGAGCAAACAGGAUUAGAUACCCUUGUAGUCC